GACAGAGGGUGCAACCGUUGUUCGGAAUUACUGGGCAUAAAGCGCACGUAGGUGGUCCACUAAGUCGAGUGUGAAAUCCCCCGGCUCAACCGGGGAAUUGCGCUCGAUACUGGCGGGCUAGAGGUCGAUAGGGGUGAGCGGAACUCCAGGUGGAGCGGUGAAAUGCGUAGAUAUCUGGAGGAACACCGGUGGCGAAAGCGGCUCACUGGAUCGAAACUGACACUGAGGUGCGAAAGCUAGGGUAGCAAACGGG
rnacentral:rRNA from 1 species